AACGAACGCUGGCGGCGUGGAUUAGGCAUGCAAGUCGAACGCGAAAGAGGGGGUAACUCCUCGAGUAGAGUGGCGAACGGGUGAGUAACACGUGAGAAACCUGCCUUCAGCAGGGGGAUAACACUCCCAACGGGGUGCUAAUACCGCAUGAGACCACGGAUUCGCAUGGAUCUGGGGUCAAAGGUGGCCUCUGCUUGCAAGCUACCGGCUGAAGAUGGUCUCGCGUCCCAUUAGCUAGUUGGUGGGGUAAUGGCCUACCAAGCGACGAUGGGUAGCUGGUCUGAGAGGAUGGUCAGCCACACUGGGACUGAGAUACGGCCCAGACUCCUACGGGAGGCAGCAGUCGAGAGGCUUUGGCAAU
rnacentral:rRNA from 1 species